rnacentral:rRNA from 1 species
UACGGAGGGAGCUAGCGUUGUUCGGAAUUACUGGGCGUAAAGCGCACGUAGGCGGCUACUCAAGUCAGAGGUGAAAGCCCAGGGCUCAACCCCGGAACUGCCUUUGAAACUAGGUAGCUAGAAUCCUGGAGAGGUCAGUGGAAUUCCGAGUGUAGAGGUGAAAUUCGUAGAUAUUCGGAAGAACACCAGUGGCGAAGGCGACUGACUGGACAGGUAUUGACGCUGAGGUGCGAAAGCGUGGGGAGCAAACAGG